rnacentral:tRNA from 1 species
UGAGGUAAAGCCAAAUAGAGGCAAAUCUUUGUUACUGAUUCAAUUGGAGAGUUUCCUACCUCAA